rnacentral:rRNA from 1 species
UACGUAGGGGGGCUAGCGUUGUCCGGAAUCAUUGGGCGUAAAGAGCGUGUAGGCGGCCCGGUAAGUCCGCUGUAAAAAGUCAAAAGGCUCAACCUUUGAAUGUCAGUGGAUACUGCCGGGCUAGAGUCCGGAAGAGGCGAGUGGAACUCCUGGUGUAGCGGUGGAAUGCGCAGAUAUCAGGAGGAAUACCGAUGGUGAAGGCAGGUCUCUGGGCUAACACUGACGCUCAUGCACGAAAGCGUGGGGAGCAAACAGG